rnacentral:lncRNA from 1 species
GCGGAGUCACAGAGUCCAGGUCCUCCUCAAAAGAGGUGCCACCGCCCCCGCCGUCGGUCAGCAUGGUUCACACACAGAGCCGCUGACUAGUCACUCGCGGCCGUCGCCGCCGCCGCCGAUCCCGAGAAAGAGGAGCAGCAGGAGGAAGAAGCGUCUCCUUCCCCCCGUCCCAGCAGCGCCACUAACUUCUCACUGCCUAACCUGCUGUUUCCCGCCCCCUCGACUCGCCACUGGCUGCAGCUCUCCAGCAGCUACAGAUCAUUGGUCAAGAUCACCUAUCACUCAGGCUCUCCGUCACGCGCCGCUUGCUGGCUCGCAGCCCCCAAGCUGCGUUGACUCGCGCAGGCCUAGGCGGUUGCGAACACCCGCCUCCCAGUCCCCACAAACAGACUUCCGGUCUUUUUCUACGUCUAUUGGCCAGCUUCUCUGACUAUUGCGUCACGACCUUAAAGUGGAUUAGUUGGCCUUGUGGUCAGUCACAGUGACCCCUAACAAUGGGACGUUCCAUUGGCGCCAUACAGUGUCGGUCACUUAGUCACAGAACGUCGCGUGGUACAAUAGGCCAGUGAAGGUUCUAUUCAUCCCGCCCCAAUCUGAGAGGCUUGCACCUCAAGGAUGCAAGAGACGCCGAGGUAACGCAGUUAACACCUGUCGCUCUCCGUCGAGAGCCGAGACUACGGCUGGAAAAUCGCUGCACCGGGAUUGGAGGAAAGAAGCCAUCAGUCUCAGCGAAGCCCCACCUUCCUGCCAUUGCCUGGUUGGAGGACCAAGGCGUCAGUCACUGGGUCUGUCGCCACCUCUGAGACAGGUGAGGCUGCGUAACCCGUUUGCCUGCGGGUCUCUGGGUGAAAGGAGGAGGCAGGGAGCGGCGAGGGGACGGAAGAGGGGCACAGCGCGUCUUGCUUGGUGCUCCCGCCUUUCCAAGGGGAGCCUUGCGCGCGUAGCUGAGGGACCCAGGGGAACAGCUUGGGAUGGCCACCCUGAGGCGACUCCACCCGCCCUCGUGCCAGGACGUGGCGGGGCGCGGCGGUUCUCCAGCAUUGGGCGCGAUCGCCCCGCGGGGCCGCGUUCUCUUGCCAGGGGCAGACGGCGGGUCCGCGGGCUGGACAGCGCCAUCCCUCAGUACCGGGAACUGUCCCACGAAGGAGGUGGCAAGGCGGGUGACGACCAGCGCACAGAAUCCGACCGCCUGACUGAACGCUGCGUGCUGUGA